GACGAACGCUGGCGGCGUGCUUAACACAUGCAAGUCGAACGGAAAGGCCCCUUCUGGGGUACUCGAGUGGCGAACAGGUGAGUAACACGUGAGUAACCUGCCCUUGCCUUCGUGAUAACUUCACGCAACUGGGGCUAAUACCGGCUAGGAACCCUUUCUGCAUGCUUGGUGUUGGACAGCUUCGGCGGUUUUGGAUGGACUCGCGGCCUAUCAGCUUGGUGGUUGGGUAGUUGCCUACCAACGCUUUGACGGGUAGCCGGCCUGAGAGGGCGACCGGCCACAUUGGGACUGAGAAAAGGCCCAGACUCCUAAGGGAGGGAGGAGGGGGGAAUAAUGGAAAAUGGGGGGAAGCCUGAUGCAGCAAAGGCGGGGGCGGGAUGACGGGCUUCGGGUUGGAAACCGCUUUAAGCAGGGGAGAAGGUGGUGGUGACGGUACCUGCAGAAGAAGCACCGGCUAACUACGUG
rnacentral:rRNA from 1 species